ensembl:snRNA U6 U6 spliceosomal RNA
GUGCUCGCUUUGGCAGCAUGUAUACUGAAAUUGGAACAAUACCGAGGAGAUUAACAUGGCCCCUGUGCAAGGAUGGCACUCAGAUUCGUGAAGCGUUCCAUAUUUUG